CCAGACUCCUACGGGAGGCAGCAGUGGGGGAUAUUGCACAAUGGGGGAAACCCCGAUGCAGCGACGCCGCGUGAGUGAAGAAGUAUUUCGGUAUGUAAAGCUCUAUCAGCAGGGACGAAAAUGACGGUACCUGAGUAAGAAGCCCCGGCUAACUACGUGCCAGCAGCCGCGGUAAUACGUAGGGGGCAAGCGUUAUCCGGAUUUACUGGGUGUAAAGGGAGCGUAGACGGCCGUGCAAGUCUGAUGUGAAAACCCGGGGCUCAACCCCGGGACUGCAUUGGAAACUGCAUGGCUGGAGUGUCGGAGAGGCAAGUGGAAUUCCUAGUGUAGCGGUGAAAUGCGUAGAUAUUAGGAGGAACACCAGUGGCGAAGGCGGCCUGCUGGACGAUGACUGACGUUGAGGCGCGAAAGCGUGGGGAGCAAACAGGAUUAGAUACCCUAGUAGC
rnacentral:rRNA from 1 species